CGCGGUGCAUACUGGGAAGCCCAGGGCUUGGAGGCGGCGGCAGGAGGGAGCGGGGCGGCCAUUUUGUCUUCCUCCGAGAGGCCGCUGGAAGGCCUGCGGCUGGUGCCUGCUUCUCGCCUUUCUCUAGUUGGGUAGCGCCGCCGCGAUGGGCCGGAAGAAGAAGAAGCAGCUGAAGCCCUGGUGCUGGUAUUGCAACAGGGAUUUUGAUGAUGAGAAAAUCCUUAUACAGCAUCAAAAAGCAAAGCACUUUAAAUGCCAUAUAUGUCAUAAGAAACUGUAUACAGGACCUGGUUUAGCUAUACAUUGUAUGCAGGUGCAUAAAGAAACAAUAGAUGCUGUUCCAAAUGCUAUUCCUGGGAGAACGGACAUUGAACUGGAAAUCUAUGGUAUGGAGGGCAUUCCAGAAAAAGACAUGGAUGAAAGGAGAAGGUUACUUGAACAAAAAACUCAGGCAGAGAGCCAGAAGAAGAAACAACAAGAUGAUUCUGAUGAGUAUGAUGAUGAUGAAUCUACAGCUUCAACCUCAUUUCAGCCACAACCAGUACAACCACAACAGGGAUACAUGCCCCCGAUGGCACAACCAGGAUUGCCUCCUGUGCCAGGUGCUCCAGGAAUACCCCCAGGUAUACCACCCUUGAUGGCAGGUGUUCCACCAAUGAUGCCAGGAAUGCCUCCAGUUAUGCCAGGAAUGCCACCUGGAUUACAUCAACAGAGAAAGUACAUGCAGUCAUUUUGCGGUGAAAACAUGAUGAUGCCAAUGGGUGGGAUGAUGCCUCCUGGGCCAGGAAUACCACCUCUUAUGCCUGGUAUGCCACCAGGUAGGUCAGUGAUGUCGAACUCAUACUGUGGUAUGCCACCACCUGUUGGUCCUCGUCCUGGUAUGCCUCCCAUGACACAAGCACAGCCUGUGACAGCACCAGGCAUUCUUAAUAGACCUCCAGCUCCUGCUGUAGCAGCACCCUCCCCACAGCCUCCAGUUACAAAACCACUUUUCCCCAGUGCAGGACAGAUGGGGCCACCUGUCACAAGUUCAAGUACAGCUUCAUCCAAUUCAGAAAAUCUGUCAGCAUCUUCUAAAGCUCUGUUUCCUAGCACAGCACAAGCUCAGGCAGCUGUUCCAGGACCAGUGGGUACUGAUUUCAAACCUUUGAAUAAUACACCUGCAACAACCACAGAGCCCCCCAAACCUACAUUCCCUGCUUAUACACAGUCUACAGCUUCAACCACUAGCACAACAAACAGUACUGCAGCUAAACCAGCUACAUCUAUAACAAGUAAGCCUGCUACCCUUACAACAACCAGUGCAACCAGUAAGUUGAUCCAUCCAGAUGAGGAUAUAUCACUGGAAGAGAGAAGGGCACAGUUGCCCAAAUAUCAACGUAAUCUUCCUAGACAAGGACAGGUAUCCAUGGGCAAUCCAUCAGUUGGAUCGCUUGGAGGUAUGAUGCCACCACAACCUGGAAUUCCUCCACAGCAGCAGGGAAUGAGACCUCCUAUGCCUCCUCAUGGUCAGUAUGGUGCUCAUCACCAAGGCAUGCCAGGUUACCUUCCUGGAGGGAUGCCUCCAUAUGGUCAGGGACCUCCAAUGGUGCCCCCUUAUCAAGGUGGACCUCCUCGACCUCCAAUGGGAAUGAGACCUCCUGUAAUGUCGCAAGGUGGCCGCUACUGAUGCUACUACACACAGUCUAAUAGGUUUUUAGAAGUGAAGUAUAGUAAAUAUGGUUCGUUAAAUUGUGAAGGCGCUGGAAUUACAUGAACAUACCAUCUUAAAGCAGCAGAAUUUCAGCAUUUGCUACUUACUGGUAGAGAAGAAAAAUCCCACAGCACUGCCAGUACAGGUUAGUUUAAUCUGUAAGUACCUGAUGUUCCUGUUUGAAAUACUGUGUUCAAAUACCAUUUAAAUACAUGAGGAGAGAGUCUUUUGAUCACCUAAAUGUAAAUACGUCUUUGUUGUGUAGGAUGUAUGUUGCUGUCUUCAGUAGUGAGUAAAUUUGUAGAAUUUAACCGUUAAAAAAAAAUAAAAUGAUUCUAACUACGCCUAGGGGUACUAUACUUUUACAAGCACCUGAUUAACAGAAAUGGGGAUUAAAAGUUUUGAUAGCCAUUUUGGCAGUAUUGAGAAGCUUAAUGGACACAUGGAUGUGGAUUCAACGGUCACUUCUUCAGUAAUUCACUUACUACCGAGAGAGGUCAUUUUACCAGAGUGAAUUGAUGAUGCAGGAUUUUGAUAUUCACUUGUAUUGGGGAUUGGGUGUUCAUGUCCCUAAUACUGUAGCAGUAACUUAACCUUGACUUAAAUUUUCUGUUUACAGAUAAUAUGCAAUAUCACCUGACUUAGUACCCCCACUCUCAUAUAUUUGCUGUAGUAGGCCCUGUGCAUGGGAUUGGACUCUGAAAUCCAUUUUAGCCCCUUUCUACACUUCAAAGAGCUCCUACAAAUGUUUUCCUCAGAGACUUUAGUUUACCCCAUAUUUCUUGCCUUUCCCUCAUAUUUCUCUUUACUUUCUCCUUUCACCCCUCCAGUAUUGCUUAGUGUGCUUUAUCUGCUUAAAUUUGAAGCAGGUGACUUAAUUGUUUGGUUGUGCAGUGUCCUGAGCAUCUUGAGUACUUGGAAUGAAAUUAACUUCAGAAGAUAAAAUUUUGUAUGUGUACAUAAAUAUACUGUGACCGUUUUUAGGUACUCU